CCCCGCUGAGCGGGGCCGAACGCAGGGGGCAGCCCGAGGGGCCCCGCAGGCGGCAGGCGCUGCGCCCCGGGCGCGGGGAGGCUCGGGGAGGGCUCUGAAGCGCAGCCCUGGCCGUGCCCCCCCGGCCCGUGCCCUGUUUACCCCCUCAGCUGUCCGGGGCUCAGCAGCACCCCCCGCAGCCGCUCGCCCCGCGCCGCUCUGCGCAUGCGCCACGCUAACUGCGCCACCGCCUCCCGGGCACCCGCAGCGAUCUCGGCGCCACGCAAACGGCGUGCCAUCGGAGCUCCUCGCACAGCAGGCCGGCUGCAGAUGCCCUUGACAUGGAAGCAGAGAGGAAAGUGGGGCAGAGGAGGCCUCGGAGGGAGCUGAGGGGAAUCGCUGCUGCACUUCAGGAGCCCGCUGCAGUCACGGAGGGAACUGGAAGCACUGUGGGGAAUGUAAACAAGGCGUUGUCCUCCCAGAGCCGUGUAAACACCACCUCAGAGCGCCCUCAGUGCACAGGGCUGCCGGAUUCUCAGUCUGAACGGAGCAAGGGAUGAAACUGCCUGCAAGCUGUGCUUGUUCUGCGCACAGCACAUAAGGCAGAGCAAUUUAAGAAGGCACUGCUUAAUGCUGGCAGUAAAUACAGAGCUCCCAUUCUGCCCUCAGUUUGCACAAAAAAAGAAUUUCAGUGUGUGUGUGUAUAUAUAUACAUAUAUAAAGCUUCAGAAAACUGAUGAGAAAGUGAAUUUUACGCUGCAUGCUGUAGGGAAGGAGUCGAAGCACACACGUGUGCAGGUUCAUAGACAUCAGCCUUGCUCUGUGAGAGAGAAGCUGCACGACGUGCUGCAGACAUCUGACCAGCUGGAGCUGGACCAGGAUUUGUUUGCAGGUCGAAGUGGUUCAAAUAGAGCAGCUGAAAUGAAAUGUAGCGGCAUGCAUCCUUUAUUUCCCACUUCCCUGUGCUGACGGACCGGAGGAAAAGAAAAUCUCAUGGCAGGGAAAGCCUGAUGUGCAUCCAUUCUGCUCAGCCAUGCGUGAGUUGGAUGUGGGGACGAGGGAGCAAAGUGCAAACACAGAGCUGGUGGUGCUGAGUUGGUCUUCAUCAAAUAAAUACACAGAGGAUGAGAAAGAAAGGGCUGGCUCUGAUAGAGAGAUAGACUAUACACGUAUAAAAACUAUUUGUAGCCUAUGUGGCCUUCGUGGUCUGCGUUCCUGGCUUCUUUGUGAAAACCUACAGCAAACACUUUCCUCCUUCUUGCGUGCCUGCCUGGGUUCACCUCUCUGCACAGCGUAAAUGAUGUUUACCUUCUGAUGAUUAAUGUCUGCUGGAAAAUAUUCAGAUCAAAGGUACGAUGGAACAGCAGAGCUUUGCUGCAGACUCUAUCAAUACGAGUACUGAAUUCUGCAUGACUUUUGUGUCAACACGACUCCAGGCAUGUGCUGGGUCCUGUAUUGGGGUGUGCUGGGUUAUGAAAGCGUGUGCUUCUGUAGCCUGGAGGAGGUGGGCUCAGAGCAAGCGGGUACCCAUUGCACGGCUGCUUGGAGGAAGGAGGGGAAUGCAUUUCCAGGGACAUGCUUGGCUUUCCAGGGAAGACAAUUACAACAUUAGAUUUGGAGGCAGCUAUAUCCACAGGGUGUGAUUUUGCU
rnacentral:lncRNA from 1 species